CUGUGCUGUUAAUUUGGGCUAUAUAUAGAAUAGUCAAUUCUAUUUCAUUGAUUGUUGCGUUGACAAACGAUUCUCCUCUUUCUGGACGAAGGCUACAUGCAUCAGUUGAAACUGUUAAGUCGUUUUGGAAAAUACGGUGAAAUUGAGUUAAUCAAAAAUUCAAAGAACAAAACUAUAGGUGCCUUAUCUAUGAAGUUGUAGUGAUAUUACAGAUUACAUUUCAACCAGUCUAUAAACUAACGCCCUAACCUGGUUUUCUCGAAACAGCAGCAGGAUCAUUUGAAAUGUGUCGGCAACGCCUGGAAGAUCGGAAGGAAAUCCCACCUCCAUCGCAACAAAACCGAGAGACCGAUAUUGCGAUCGAAGUCAUAGAUGCAGUCAUGAAGAUGUUGAAAGUCCUUGGUCAUCGUUCAUUUGUGCAGCUGUGCGAAAAACUAGAUACGAUGACGGAAGCAGAGGUAACAGCUUUCAAAAGAAAAUACCUUUCAGAUGAAAACCUCGAAUAAGAAGUAGUACGAAUAUAAAUCAGAUGUAGAAGUAACACAUAAUAUCGUUGAUCACAGUUCCGAUUUUCGUAUUACGAUAUUUCAUGAGUAUUUUUUUAACCAUAUAAUUUUCUUCAUUUAUACUACAAGAUAUCGUAUUUUUGGGCAUGUUUUAUUCACUUUUUGUAAAAAUCUUAGUAUCUUCCUCAGUAUUUGUUAGAUAAUUGAAAAAUACAAACUAUUUAUGUAGAAUA